rnacentral:rRNA from 1 species
CCUACGGGAGGCAGCAGUAGGGAAUCUUGCGCAAUGGGCGAAAGCCUGACGCAGCCAUGCCGCGUGAAUGAUGAAGGUCUUAGGAUUGUAAAAUUCUUUCACCGGGGAAGAUAAUGACGGUACCCGGAGAAGAAGCCCCGGCUAACUUCGUGCCAGCAGCCGCGGUAAUACGAAGGGGGCUAGCGUUGCUCGGAAUUACUGGGCGUAAAGGGCGCGUAGGCGGAUAGUUUAGUCAGAGGUGAAAGCCCAGGGCUCAACCUUGGAAUUGCCUUUGAUACUGGCUAUCUUGAGUUCGGGAGAGGUGAGUGGAAUGCCGAGUGUAGAGGUGAAAUUCGUAGAUAUUCGGCGGAACACCAGUGGCGAAGGCGACUCACUGGCCCGAUACUGACGCUGAGGCGCGAAAGCGUGGGGAGCAAACAGGAUUAGAUACCCUGGUAGUCCACGCUGUAAACGAUGAGUGCUAGUUGUCGGCAUGCAUGCAUGUCGGUGACGCAGCUAACGCAUUAAGCACUCCGCCUGGGGAGUACGGUCGCAAGAUUAAAACUCAAAAUGAAUUGACGG